AGUAACAAAACAUGACAGAUUUAUCAUACUACGAUGGCCGUUAAUUGAUUAUCAAUAUUUAGUGAUCGAGUCUAUGUUUACUAUUUUCCACAGUCAUGAGCAACGGCGCCACCGCGUCAUCGUAUGGUAACCACCACGUUUAUAUAGAUAUACGUAAAGGCUAACAAAUAACGAUAAAUUGUUCAGUGAAUAUUUUUCUCUUUAAAAUUACUUCAAUCUAGAUAACUAUACUACGUAGUAACUGUAACUUUCUAAUAAACUAGGUAGGUAACUGACAAUUUAUAGGCGAUUCGUUUUUCUUAUGAUCAAAUAUUGCCUUUUGCAUUUUACUAUUCAUAUAAACAAGAGCAAAAUUAUGUUAUUUUAUGCCAGCAAAAACACAUUUUAUAAACUAGGACUACCAAAGUGUAGUCUGAAGGCCUCAAAUGACUCUCC